rnacentral:lncRNA from 1 species
AAGGGCUUGAAGUUGGUCCAUUUUGACUAAAUUCUCAAAGGCAUGUUUUGCACUAUGAACUUCAUGGCCUGUUUUCAUAAAUUUCCACACUUCAAAUGAGUUUUUGUCCAACAUAACAUUUAUUCCUUAUGUCAAGACCUUUCCAACCAUUACCCACAUGCAUAUGUUUGGAUUUUCUAAUUGACAUUUUCGAAGAGAUGAAGUUCUAGGCACAAUU